rnacentral:rRNA from 1 species
UACGGGGGGAGCAAGCGUUGUUCGGAUUUACUGGGCGUAAAGGGCGCGUAGGCGGCGCAACAAGUCACUUGUGAAAUCGUCCGGGCUUAACCCGGAGCGGCCAAGUGAUACUGUCGUGCUAGAGUGCGGAAGGGGCUACUGGAAUUCUCGGUGUAGCGGUGAAAUGCGCAGAUAUCAGGAGGAACACCAAUAGCGAAGGCAGCUCGCUGGGACGAUACUGACGCUAAGGCGCGAAAGCGUGGGGAGCAAACAGGG